GAAACAAAAUGGAAGAGAAGUGCUCACUGAACAUCUGGAUAAUUCAAUUAUAUUGAAUAAAUACAUAUCUUGAACUGUUUUCACAAAAUCGAAGCAUAUAGGCCAUAUGACUUUGAUAAUGCUCAGAAUUCAGACUGUUUUGAAAUGUGUUCUGAGCUAAAAAAAAAAAAAGGAAAAAAAACCUAAAUGGUAACUCAUUAUAUAGGAAUAAUUUUCAAAUAAAAUUGUUUCAAUAAAAAUUUCCAAAAUUACUUAACUGUUCAAGAUUUCUAUUUAGAUAUACUAUAUGGAGUUGUGGUGGGUUUUGUUUUUUUUUAAUGUUUUUAAGUGGAAUCAGUUGACCAAAUACAAUAGUUUCUAUCUAUAUGAAAGGUAUUUUCAAGUUACUGAAGUCAGUUGAAAGCUAUAUUUAAACAUCUGAAUAUAGUUAGCAUUUUUCUUUUUAUGAAAGCCAUUGUCUAGUCAAUAUAAGAAAUAAGGUGGAGUGUUACUUAUUUAAA
rnacentral:lncRNA from 1 species